AAUGAACGCUGGCGGCAUGCCUUACACAUGCAAGUCGAACGGCAGCAUGACCUAGCUUGCUAGGUUGAUGGCGAGUGGCGAACGGGUGAGUAAUGCAUCGGAACGUGCCUUUUAGUGGGGGAUAACGUAGCGAAAGUUACGCUAAUACCGCAUAUUCUCUGAGGAGGAAAGCAGGGGACCUUCGGGCCUUGCGCUAGAAGAGCGGCCGAUGUCGGAUUAGCUAGUUGGUGGGGUAAAGGCUCACCAAGGCAACGAUCCGUAGCGGGUCUGAGAGGAUGAUCCGCCACACUGGGACUGAGACACGGCCCAGACUCCUACGGGAGGCAGCAGUGGGGAAUGGUGGACAAUGGGCGCAAGCCUGAUCCAGCCAUGCCGCGUGAGUGAAGAAGGCCUUCGGGUUGUAAAGCUCUUUCGGCUGGGAAGAAAUCGCACCCUCUAAUACAGGGUGUGGAUGACGGUACCAGCAUAAGAAGCACCGGCUAACUACGUG
rnacentral:rRNA from 1 species